GCCCGAGUGGCGGAACUGGCAGACGCGCUGCGUUCAGGUCGCAGUGAUCGCAAGGUCGUGGAGGUUCGAGUCCUCUCUCGGGCA
rfam:Acidobacteria bacterium 13_2_20CM_2_57_6 13_2_20cm_2_scaffold_613, whole genome shotgun sequence.